GACGAACGCUGGCGGCGUGCUUAACACAUGCAAGUCGAAGAUAGUGGCGAACGGGUGAGUAAUACGUGGGUACCCUGCCCUCCUUUUUGGUAUAAGCCUUGGAAACGGGGUCUAAUACCGCAUAAAGGGGGAUAGGCUCGCGGCCUAUCAGCGUGUUGGUGGGUUGAUGGCGUACCAAGGCGGUGCCGGGUAGCCAGCCUGAUAGGGUGACCGGCGACGUUGGUACUGCGAUACGGCCCAGACUAGUACGGGGGGCAGCAGUUGGCGAUAUUGCACAAUGCGUGAUAGACCCAUGCAGCGACGCUGCGUGGGGGAUGAAGGCUUUCGGGUUGUAAACGUCUUGAGCUAGCGAUCGGUUAGGGGGAGAAGAAGCGCCGGCUAACUCCGUGCCAGCAGCCGCGGUAAUUC
rnacentral:rRNA from 1 species